AGCCACCACACCUGGCCUCUUUCGUAAUUUUUUUAAAAGUGGACAUUUUAGGUAACAUUUUGUAGCAACUCUGGUUAUUAGUUCAUCUCUUCCCUUUCUGGGUCUUGUUUUUGUUGCUGUUUCUUUGCUCAUUUGUUUGGUGACUUAGCUAGUCCAUUUUGAUAAAACCAUUUCUCUCACAGUGUAAAGCCUUGGCUGUCACUCCUCACAGGAUGCAGCCUUGGGCAUGCACCUGCUCACCCUGGAAUUAAAAUAAUUUUAGCAGUUUUCUUUGAUUGUCUCUUUCCCCUCAUAUCUUCAUUAAAAUGUCUGUCCUUUUCAUAUUAUACCCAGCAAUUAGGCUCCACUAAUUACCACUAAUUGUUCUAUUGUUUUGGAAAAUGCCCUCUGAUAUAAAUUACUCAGCAGUAUAAUUGGGCUGGGGUAGUUUUUAAAGAUAGGUGUGUUGUGUUUUGUUUUGUUUUGUUUUUUACUUUAAGUUCUGGGAUACAUGUGCAGAAUGUGCAGGUUUGUUACAUAGGUAUAUAUGUGCCAUGGUGGUUUGCUGCACCCAUCAACCCAUCAUCUACAUUAGGUAUUUCUCCUAAUGCUAUCCCUCCCCGAGCCCCCCACCCCCCAACAGGCUCUGGUAUGUGAUGUUCCCCUCCCUGUGUUCAUGCAUUCUCAUUGUUCAACUCCCACCUAUACAUGAGAAAAUGCGGUGUUUGGUUUUCUGUUCCUGUGUUAGCUUGCUGAGAAUGAUGAUUUCCAGCUUCAUCCAUAUCCCUGCAAAGGAUAUAAACUCAUUCUUUUUUAUGGCUGCACAGUAUUCCAUGGUGUAUAUGUGCCACAUUUUCUUUAUCCAGUCUAUCAUUGAUGGGCAUCUGAGUUGGUUCCAAGUCUUUGCUGUUGUGAAUAGUGCUGCAAUAAACAUAUGUGUGCAUAUGUCUUUAUAGUAGAAUAAUUUAUAAUCCUUUGGGUAUAUACCCAGUAAUUAGAUUGCUGAGUCAAAUGGUAUUUCUGGUUCUAGAUCCUUGAGGAAUCACCACACUGUAUUCCACAAUGUUUGAACUAAUUUACACUCCAACCAACAGUGUAAAAGCGUUCCUAAUUCUCCACAUUUUCUCCAGCAUCUGUUGUUUCCUGACUUCUUAAUGAUUGCCAUUCUAACUGGCAUGAGACAGUAUCUCAUUGUGGUUUUGAUUUGCAUUUCUCUAGUAACUAGUGAUGAUGAAUUUUUCAUGUUUGCUGGCUGCAUAAAUGUCUUCUUUUAAGAAGUGUCUGUUCAUAUCCUUCACCCACUUUUUGAUGGGGUUGUUUUUUUUUUGUAAAUUUGUUUAAGUUCCUUGUAGAUUCUGGAUAUUAGCCCUUUGUCAGAUGGGUAGAUUGAAAAAAUUUUCUCCCAUUCUGUAGGUUGCCUGUUCACUCUGAUGAUCAUUUAUUUUGCUGCGCAAAAGCUCUUUAGUUUAAUUAGAUCCCAUUUGUCAAUUUUGGCUUUUGUUGUCUUUGCUUUUGGUGUUUUCAUCAUGAACUCUUUGCCCAUGCCUGUGUCCUGAAUAGUAUUGCCUAGGUUUUCUUCUAGGGUUUUUAUGGUUUUAGGUCUUAUGUUUAAGUGUAUAAUCCAUCUUGAGUUAAUUUUUUAUAAGGUGUAAGGAAGGGGUCCAGUUUCAGUUUUCUGUAUAUGACCAGCCAGUUUUCCCAACACCAUUUAUU
rnacentral:lncRNA from 10 species